UCUCUGAACAAAAGAGAUGAAUUUAUGCCUGGGACUUCUGCUUGAGUCCACUGAUUAACACAUAUUUUUAUGCAUAUGCUUGCCUUCUUUUGCUUUUGCUGGCUUUUUUUCCCUACUAGGAGAAAGUUGAAAUGCCACUUUAAGGAUGCGAAGACCUUCCCAGCUGCAGGAGGCUUUGGCUGAGGUGCCACCACUGCUGAGCUGCUUGGGAAGGUUUGAGAGAAGGUGCAGCCACUGUGGACAGCUCCUGCGGCGGUACCUCAUGAAAGCGGCGAGAUGAAGUGGGAACAAAUGUGCAGCUGUUUUGACAGGUGCCACCAUUGUGACAAGUGAAGCUGCUUUGAUAGCUCCUGUGGGGCUUUCCUCGGGAACUACAGUCUUCUAUCAGAACAUGAUUCGCAUCCCAGGAACUGUAUAGGGUGGGGAGGAAAUGCCGUGGAGGAGGAGAAACCUUUGAAACCAUAGAAAUACCUCCAGGAAGAUGUAUAAGUGCUGUGAAUAAGGAUCCUCUAUACCAUCAGCCUGGACAACCAAAAACCUAGCAAG